AUUGAACGCUGGCGGCAGGCCUAACACAUGCAAGUCGAGCGGCAGCGGGACCUUCGGGUUGCCGGCGAGCGGCGGACGGGUGAGUAAUGCCUAGGAAUCUGCCUGUUAGUGGGGGAUAACGCGGGGAAACUCGCGCUAAUACCGCAUACGUCCUACGGGAGAAAGCGGGGGCUCUUCGGACCUCGCGCUAACAGAUGAGCCUAGGUCGGAUUAGCUAGUUGGUGGGGUAAUGGCCCACCAAGGCGACGAUCCGUAACUGGUCUGAGAGGAUGAUCAGUCACACUGGAACUGAGACACGGUCCAGACUCCUACGGGAGGCAGCAGUGGGGAAUAUUGGACAAUGGGCGAAAGCCUGAUCCAGCCAUGCCGCGUGUGUGAAGAAGGUCUUCGGAUUGUAAAGCACUUUAAGUCGGGAGGAAGGACUGUAGGCUAAUACCUUGCAGUUUUGACGUUACCGACAGAAUAAGCACCGGCCGACUUCGUGCCAGCCGCCGCCGUAACAC
rnacentral:rRNA from 1 species